UACGUAGGGUGCGAGCGUUAAUCGGAAUUACUGGGCGUAAAGCGCACGUAGGCGGCUCUUUAAGUCGGGGGUGAAAUCCUGGAGCUCAACUCCAGAACUGCCUUCGAUACUGAAGAGCUCGAGUCCGGGAGAGGUGAGUGGAACUGCGAGUGUAGAGGUGAAAUUCGUAGAUAUUCGCAAGAACACCAGUGGCGAAGGCGGCUCACUGGCCCGGUACUGACGCUGAGGUGCGAAAGCGUGGGGAGCAAACAGG
rnacentral:rRNA from 1 species